rnacentral:rRNA from 1 species
UACAGAGACUGCGAGCGUUAUUCGGAUUCACUGGGCGUAAAGGGUGCGCAGGCGGCCAUGUGUGUGAGGCGUGAAAGCCCGGGGCUUAACCCCGGAAUUGCACCUCAAACUACAUGGCUAGAGCAUUGGAGAGGGUAGCAGAAUUCAUGGUGUAGCAGUGAAAUGCGUAGAUAUCAUGAGGAAUACCAGAGGCGAAGGCGGCUACCUGGACAAUUGCUGACGCUCAGGCACGAAAGUGC